rnacentral:tRNA from 1 species
GCGGGCGUGGCGGAAUGGUAGACGCAUGGGACUUAAACUCCCUGGGCCGCAAGGCCGUGCGGGUUCAAGUCCCGCCGCCCGCACCA